CCUACGGGGGGCUGCAGUGGGGAAUAUUGCGCAAUGGGCGAAAGCCUGAUGCAGCGACGCCGCGUGAGGGAUGAAGGUCUUCGGAUCGUAAACCUCUGUCAGCAGGGAAGAACGGUCACUGUGCUAAUCAGCAGGGAAUUGACGGUACCUGCAAAGGAAGCACCGGCUAACUCCGUGCCAGCAGCCGCGGUAAUACGGAGGGUGCGAGCGUUCAUCGGAAUUACUGGGCGUAAAGCGCUCGUAGGCGGUAUGUCAAGUCAAGGGUGAAAUCCCCGCGCUCAACGUGGGAACUGCCUUUGAUACUGGCAAACUAGAGUGUGGGAGAGGAUAGUAGAAUUCCAGGUGUAGGAGUGAAAUGCGUAGAUAUGUGGAGGAACACCAGUGGCGAAGGCGGCUCUCUGGCACAUGACUGACGCUGAGGAGCGAAAGCGUGGGUAGCAAACAGGAUUAGAUACCCUAGUAGUC
rnacentral:rRNA from 1 species